GAUGAACGCUGGCGGCGUGCCUAAUACAUGCAAGUCGAGCGAACAGACGAGGAGCUUGCUCCUUUGACGUUAGCGGCGGACGGGUGAGUAACACGUAGAUAACCUACCUAUAAGACUGGGAUAACUUCGGGAAACCGGAGCUAAUACCGGAUAAUAUUUCGAACCGCAUGGUUCGAUAGUGAAAGAUGGCUUUGCUAUCACUUAUAGAUGGACCUGCGCCGUAUUAGCUAGUUGGUAAGGUAACGGCUUACCAAGGCAACGAUACGUAGCCGACCUGAGAGGGUGAUCGGCCACACUGGAACUGAGACACGGUCCAGACUCCUACGGGAGGCAGCAGUAGGGAAUCUUCCGCAAUGGGCGAAAGCCUGACGGAGCAACGCCGCGUGAGUGAUGAAGGUCUUCGGAUCGUAAAACUCUGUUAUUAGGGAAGAACAAACGUGUAAGUAACUGUGCACGUCUUGACGGUACCUAAUCAGAAAGCCACGGCUAACUACGUG
rnacentral:rRNA from 1 species